GGGAUAAGGAAUCCUGUGUGAUCAGAUAAUUAGCGGGACUGGAGGACCCCCGCAGUGAUCUAGGCCCAGUACUAGACAGGGAUGGUAAAAUGGACAAGUGUUCAAUAAAUAUUUCUGUCCUGUAUUUGUAAAGAGUUGGCAUGGCAUAUCCAUAUCUUACAAUAUUAAAGAAAUACGUUCUAUUUCAACAGUAACUGUGGAGGAUGCCAAACAGCAUCCGCUAAACUUGGAGCUCGUCUACACUUGAAAUGGUACAGCGGCACAGCCGCAGUGCUUCAGUGUAGACACUCACUUCUGCAACAGGAGAGGUUCUCCUGUCACUAUAGUUAAUCCACUUCCCCCAGGAGAUGGUAGCCAGAUCGGCAGAAGAAUCUUUCAAUUGAUUUAGUGCUGGUCUACUCCAGGGGUUAGGUCCGCUUAACUACAUCACUCAGGGGUGUGGAUUUUUCACACCCCUGAGCGACGUAGCUGGGUUGACUUAACUUUGUAUAUACCUGACCUUAUACUUUUUAAAUAUGUAGGAGUGGGGCCAUGUUUACACUACAAACUUACACAAGUGAUGUUGGCAUAAAGCUGUCACAGUUAGUAUGGCACUUGUAUUCAUGCAUACUUGGCUUCUUGUGUCAGCGCUGUGCAUAUUCACCAGGAGUGCUUGUGUCAAUGCACAGUGCAGUGCUCCAUGGGUCGGUAUCCCAGUGCGCAACCUGACACCAUCCAGCACACUGUCUUUUGGAAAGUUUUGGCAAUACAUUGUGGGGCAGAAAGGAGUUGUUCAGGGGUGACUGGUAGCAAGGGGUUAACCUCCCGCCAUGCAACUGUCUCCGUCUCAUAAUGUCACUUAUAUCCCAUACUUUUCAGACCUUUUUUAAAAAUCCCACAAAGCCACACAGCCUUUCUCGCUGUCAGCCAUCUCUGACGGACUCUCCACUAUUGUCAUAAGCAUUACAAGGACAGGACAUGCAUUCCUCCAGUAUUUGUAGAGCUGCAAGAAGAACUGAAUGAGCAGGUAACAUGGUGAGUUAUUGGAGGACAAGCUGCUGCGGGACAUAGAAAGAAACAAUUCAAGGUUGUUGAUGGCAUUCACAGAGCAGCUGCUGCUACUGGAGCACUGCACCUGCAUGGGAUUGUAUUGUAAUACAGGUUUGGGAUGAGGAGCAUUGGCUGUAGAACUUUCAAAUGCACAAGGUCCCAUUUCUGGAUGUGAGUGCCGAGCUCGCCCCAGGACUCCAGUGCCGGGACACUAAAAUGAGAGUUGCACUGGCAGUAGAGAAGCUAGUGGCAAUUGCACUGUGGAAACUCGCAGAGCUGGAUUGCUACCAGUCAUUGGGAAAUCAUUUUGGAGAUGGAAAAUCCACUGUGGGGUCUGUUGUCAUGCAAGUGUGCAGGGCCAUUAAUCAUCUCCUGCUAUGUAGGACUGUGACUCUCGGCAAUGUGCAGGACGUAGUGGAUGGAUUUUCAGCAGUGAGGUUCCCAAACUGCGGUGGAGCAAUAGACAGCACACACAUCCCUAUUUUGGUACCAGACCACCUUGCCACAGAGUAUAUCAACAGAAAGGGCUACUUAUUUAUGGUUAUGCAAGCAUUGGUGGAUCGCUGGGGUUGCUUCACUGACGUCAAUUUUAGCCGGUCAGGGAAGGUCCAUGAUGCUCAUAUCUUUAAGAACACAGGACUGUUCAGAAAGCUACAAACAGAGACUUUCUUGCUCAAAUGGCAAAUUAACUACGGUGAUGUUGAAUUGCCAAUAGUGAUCCUGGAGGACCCAGCCUACCCCUUGCCCCCAGCUCAUGAAGCUGUAGACCAACCACCUUGAUAGCGCCAAGGAAAGAGUCGACCACCAGCUCAGGAGGUGCAGAAUGACAGUUGAAUGUGCUUUUGGUAAAUUGAAGGUACACUGACGUUGUUUACUCACAAAAAUGGAUCUCGAUGAAAAACAAAUCCCAAUGGUUCUUCCUUCCUGCUGUGUCCUGCACAUUUGUGAAGCAAAGGGGGAAAAGUUGCCACCAGGAUGGAUGGUUGAGGUGGAGCAGCUGUCUGCUGAGUUUGAACAGCCAGACACAAGGGCUAUUAGAAAAGUUCAAUGCAGAUCUAUACGGUUCAGGGAGGCUUUGAAAGAGCUCUUUAAUGGUGUGGAAGGGGAACCCCUUAAGGCCGCAACAGCAGCAGCUACAGAUAAAACAUACAGAGGUACCAUUGUCAAUAUAGUCACAACAGAAAGUAAAAGUUAAGAUUCAGAGCUCCCUUCCCUUGCUCCUCUAAAGAUUUAAACAAGACAUGCUUAUUGACACUUCUGCUUCAGAAUGCUUGUGCACGUCCCCACUCACAGCACCAGUCGUGGUGAGUAUAGCUUACCAGGAGUAAGGGAAAUGAGGAGGGAAUUGUUUAGUUGCAUGCUACUAUGAGUACUAAGCAGUGGCACUGAAUACUGGCACCAUUUUCCACAGGCAGAGUUAAUGUUAGCUGAUAACUCACUCCUGAGUGUAACAAAGGCAUAGAGAACACAGCUGCUGCUGGUAUCCCGAAGCUGCCUGGGCCUGUAUGCUGCUAGCCUGUAUACUACAAUGGUGCCUGCCAAAGUUGCAGCUAACUAACAUGGGAAAGUGUCCUUCCCUUGAGGAAGAAGUAAUGCUGCCAUCCCUAGAAACCUUCAGGAGAGGAUUGCAGAGUACCUCUAUGAACAUUUCAUCAAAAUCUCUCAGAAGGAUUCAAGGGACCACCCCCAUGUACACAGUGGCAGCCUCUUGUCUGAUAGGAGGAGGAGCAAUAUUGCUCAGAACUGGAAGCCAUGGGAGUGGAGUCGGAUGCAGGGUGCUGGAGAUGAUACGCAUGGCGGCAUGUAACUGCAUAUCCACCAGUUAGGUGUGUGAUGAUCGACUCCAAACUGGUGCACAGUACUCCACCACCGAAUACGAGGUGGAAAGAGCUGACGUCCGCAAAGUUGGAGCACGAGUACCCCAUGACGAACCUGCCAGUUUGCUAAGACGAUUGUUGCACUGUUUUCUUCAGAAACUUCUCUUUUGGGGCAAGAGGAAGUUGUUUAACAUUAACCACAAUAAUUUAUCCAAGUUAAAAGGGACUGUUUGGGUGAGUUACUAUUUAUUAUUUGCAUUAUGGUACUGCCUCAGGAGCAACCGAGAACAAGUUCUCAUUGUGCUAGGCACUGUACAGAGUACUAGACAGUCCCUGCAGGGAGGGGAGCAUGCAGGGCAGGCAGAAGAGACAGAAGGGGGCAGAGGUUGUUGGAGUAAGCAGCUGAAGGGCAGAGUCCGAAAGCAGAAAGGAGUCUGACAUCCGUGUCCACAAGUCCCUGUUCCAGCGACUUCUGCAUCUGCUCCUGCAGGCUUAAGAAUUUCUCGGCCUCCUCCCUUUCCUCUCCCCUCCCCGCUCCAAGCUGGCUCCUUCCUGCAGUUUCUUUUCCCCCAAACCCACAUGGCUCAGGUGUGGGGGUGCUGCACAGGUCCUGUGGUCCCAGAGCUGUAAUGAUGAAUAUGAGAAAGAUAAUGAAGAGGUGAGGAUAAUUUCCAGGAGUUGAAGGUAAGGAAAGUGAAACUGAAAGGAUUGAACACACAGACGUGAAACUGAAUGAUGCCUUCCUCUGAUUAUGUUAGGUUGGACUUACUAGUAUCAAAUUAGAAAAUGUUCAAAGUGAUACAAUUAAAAUAAGGAAUUUUUUCAGAAGUCAAAUACUGCCUGUUCUCCCCCUCGCCCCACUUUCCAUUUUCACAGCACAAGCUGACAGUUACACCAGCAAGAUCAUUGCAUAUGGCAUGCUGCAGAUAAUAAAAAGUUGUUUUACCCAUCGAGAUAAUGUACACUUUGGCAACAUCAUUUCUCAAAUGCCCAGUCCUUUGGCUGUGGCUGCACUGAUCUUUCACUGGGCUGUGCACUUCUUAACUCAGCUGUGGCUUUUUGCUGACUUUUGAUUCCUCAGGCUCUUCCUAUACUAGCCAACAACACUCUGAAUUCAGCGCUGGAAGCAUCUUUCACUGGAUUCUUCUCCUUUUAGUUUCCCCUUUAGGGUUAUAGUAAAAUCCCCAGCAAUCCUGGGAAGAGCUUUUAUUUAGUUUAGAAUGAAAUAUGGUCUCCACUUUGACAGCUCAGAAGCAGUCAAGCUGCGUUUCUGCAGCAGUAAACAGUUGUGUAACUGCAAAUUGCUCUUCACAGGUACUAGCAGGACACCAGAACAUUCUUGGAAAAGUUUGAAUUUCAGAGUAGUGUCCCAACUGAUCCAGGUGUCUCUCAAAGGCCAGAAGAGCUUACAGGAUCUUUUCAAGAGGGUCACAGUCAUUGGACUAAUUUAGAAGCCUCAUUGAUAAAGGGUGACUUAUAUUCUGGAUUUACAAAGGAAAAGAAAGAAAUAUUCCUGGCAUCUCCAACUCUAGAGCCGAAAUGGGGAAAAAAGCAGCUGACAUCACCAUAAGGAGGGAGAAAUGAUCUUCAGACGGACAGUGCUAGAAACCCAAUUGCUAAUCUAGGGUCAUUCAGAUUUCACCAUCAAGGGCCACGUUAUCAAUUGCCAGGAACAUGAGAGAGACAGGUAAUUUGCAUCUAUAUACUUUUACAACUAAAAAGUAAAUGUACUCUAGUAUUUGUGUUUUUAUCUUCCUGAGUAGAUUAACAGAAAUUUCUUCCUGGCUGAGUUUACCUGCAAUGGAAAAACAAAACCGUUCUUAGAAGGGAAAAGCAGAAAUGAGAUUUGGCCUAAUAGAAUUUGUAGUGUCCAUGAAUGUACCUCCAAGCUCCUUUAUUGCAACUCAUAUCUAGGAAUGAAGCUUCACAUCUGGAAAAUCAUCAACCAGUACAAAAUGCAGUUGUCUUCUUAGUGAACACAUCACCCCAGUGUUCCUUCCUCUGUAUUUGGUCCUCACUGAAUAGAGUCUAUUUCAAGGUAUCGGUUCAGAUAUUCAAAACCAUCCAUGCAAAUGGCGCUGGCUACCCAAGAUGUCCACAGUGUCCACAGUGAUGACGUCCCACAACAGAUGCUUUCCACAAAAACAAUGAAACUGUUGACCAAUAGUAGGAGGCUCAUGAGUGUGAGGGACAGAACUUUCACAGCAGCCAGAUCUACACGAUGAAACUCACUUCUGCAAGAGAUGAGUGACACCAAGCCUCACCCUAUUCAGAACUAAGAUCUUGUCUACAAGAAAGUUGUACCAAUGUAAUUAAGUUGGUUUCUAAAUGUAAAUCUCAUCUCUUCAGUUUAGUUUCCCUUCAAUAAUUUCUUCACACACAAAUGGAUACCCAAGACACCCACUCAUGCACGCAAACUGCCUAUAAACUAAUCAAAUUAUUUCUCUUACAGGCUGGGAAGGAAGAGAGACUAUUGUUAUCCUUUCAGUUUGGGAGGCAACAGAUGCUAAGGCAAUGGGGUUUAGAAAGUACCUAAAUAGAAAGGUAGAUCUCCCAAUCCAAGUGUGCAUCCACACUAGGAAGAAAAGGUGUUUUACCAUAUAUUAGCUAACGCAUGGUAACAUCCUAGUGUGGACAGGGCAGUCUUAGUUCUCACAUGUUAGCAGGUUGAGGUAAAUGCUAACUAGGGGAAGCCUAAAGCUAAUAUAUGGCAAAAUACUCCUUUUUUCCUAGUGAAGACAAGGCCUAAGAUAAAUUAAACUGGAGGGUAGCCAAAGCUGCACUUACUCCACAUUCUCCACAUUGAGCCAUUAGAGCACUCUUUUGGGACUCUUCUUCUAACCCCUCUUCACCAUAAAUUGCUUUCUGUCUGUCCUGGUUCUCAGCUUUUGGUUACGGAGCAAGUUGGAAGUUCAUUUGUAUUUAGAGUUUUUAACAGCUGAAGUCCAACCUAAGCCUCUCAGUUCAAGCCUUUACUGCAUUUAAAAAGGGGAAGUAAAAUCCCCAAAAGAAGUCCCUUGAACAUUGACAGGGAAAGUGAAAACUUAUAAAUAACCGAUUGCUUGGUACUAAGUGCAUGGAUGAACCCAGUAAGGACAGAUGCUGUGGUUACUGAUUUAUGGCUAUGGAGGACUUAAGAACAGUUCCAAUGUCAAUGGAGUUUCAGACAUGCUAAUAGCAGCUCUUUGCUGCUUGCUGCCCAGAAGCUGCUUGGCAGGGUCUCAUUUCACAUUAAUUAAUUUUCGUCUGAAAAUUGUGUUUUCUGGCCUAAAUUGAUGGUUAUAAUUAUUAUUCCUCUGAAUUAUUUCUAAUAUGAAAUGCAGCAACCGUUUAAUAGUUCACAGAAACAGUAUACAGCAGUUUUAGAUCAGAAACAAGGGAGAAUCUGCAGAGGACUUUAAGGAGGUGGAUAUCUUGAUUCUCAUUAAGUUUAUUACACUCCAUGUUUUAAUCUUGUCUUUAGUCCUUGAAUUCGUACUUGUGUUACUGUAGACCACCCAUGAUACACUAGCUGAAGGUUCUGUGGAGAUAACAUUACCAUGUAUUUUUGAGGUAUGUAUUGGUUUUUUCAAUUACUUUUCAAACCAAGUCAGAGAAAGGACAUCAUUCACCAGGGUUAUCACCUUAAAUUUGAAAUAUAUAUUGGUACAUUUGUGUAAACAUCACAUGGGAGACACAAGAAGAAUUGGAGUGUUGCCAUUUUUAGGACACAGUGAAAGACUUCUUUUUGUGCAAAUCUGUUCACAGAAACAGAGGUCUACAAUGAUCUGUAUGUUCUCCAGGUGCGGAUUUAGCCUUUUUAGGGUUCUGGAUAAAUCAAGGGAGGAGAGGAGAGUUUAGGCCAAUAUAGGGAGAACCAGUGUGAAUCUAAUUUUUGUUACAUGACACCUAGAGAGGUAGGGGAAUUAGAAGUAUAGACAGCAGACUUUCAGUGUCCUGCAUGCAAAUCUCAAUGGUGCCCCCUGCUGGUUUGGGUUGGUUUCAAAAGGUUUUGUUUAAGGCAUCUUACAUCUAGAGCUGGGUAAAUAAUUUAUUUUUUGGUUCAACCUGCAAACCGAAAAAUCAGAAACAAUAGUUAGAUAGAUUCCAAAAAUGUUCAGAAUUUGUUAGCAAAUAUGUGUGUGACCUUUAGACGAGUGCAGGGGUGGCCAACCUGUGGCUCUGGAGCCACAUGCAGCUCUUCAGAAGUUAAUAUGCGGCUCCUUGUAUAGACAGGCACUGGGGCUGGAGCUAUACAUGCGAACUUUCCAAUGUGCCGGGGGUGCUCACAGCUCAACCCCUGGCACUGCCACAGGCCCUGUCCCCACUCCAGCCCUUCCCAUCCCCUCCCCUAAGUUUGCUGUGCCCUCGCUCCUCCCCCCCAGCCCCAGCCUCCUGCACACCACGAAACAGCUGAUCGGGAGGUGGGGGAGGGAGAGGGUGGCGCUGAUCAGCAGGG